rnacentral:lncRNA from 1 species
CAACGGCCGGCCUGUCCUGAGGAGAGAUGUAAGGCGCAGUGCUUCUGAGAGCCGACUUCAGUAGGUGUUCUCCUAGCUCAGCGUGCUUAUGGCCACAGAGUUGGGCCCUUUGGAAGAAAAUUGGUAAUGCUUUGUCACUGAGGCGGUCGCGUCGAGAAUCGUGAGGCCGGGUCAUUGCUUAAGGUCUACUCGCCUGCUCAGACCUAGAGCUGCCAGGAUCUGGGAAAUGGGCGCUGUCCCCUAACCUAAGCUGCUAACUAGGGCCGGGAAACCCGAAGGUAUUGGGAGAAAAGAAAGGAGUUACAAAGAUGUCAGCCUGGCGAGGGAGUGCCCAUUCACAACCCACGAAAAAAGAUUUCAUUGGCUUUUUGAUAAAGACAAUGAACAACUUUCAUGUGGACCAGUCUGGGACUCUAAGCUUGGAGUUUGCAGGAGUGGCUCAAGACACACAAAGACUAACUAUGAAGGGUGGGACACCGAGGCUGUAUGGGAGACGUAUUUCAUGUUGAAUGUGCCAAGCUCUUUGGUGAAAAAAAACAAAACAAAACCUAAGAGACUACCAUCCUCUUUAUAUUCCUUUACAAGCAGGAGACAUCCUUACUGCCUGUCAUGUGCAGACUCUUGGACAGAAACCAAAACAAAAGACAACUGAUGGCGCUUUUAGUCCCAGCACUUGGGAGGCAGAGAGAGGCGAAUUUCUGAGUUCGAGGCCAGCCUGGUCUACAGAGUGAGUUCCAGGACAGCCAGGACUACACAGAGAAACCCUGUCUCGAAAACAACUUUUAUUAAGGUUGCGGCUAUACUGGAGGAUGUAGAGAUCCAGUUGGAAAUGGGAGCUUGGUCCAGUGAGUUCUGAGCCAACUAUAAUUACAACUCAGAACCCUGUCUCAAACCCCUCCUCGAGUCCCUUGUAAUAACUGUCCAUCUGCUCCAGGUAUGUGAGUAUCAUGCUUUGCGUAUGUGGGUAUUUUAAUAUCAGUGACUGUUUAGCAUGGUUCAUUCCUCCUGCUGAGCUGACCCUGAAAGAUCCUGACAGAAUGUAAAAGGACACAGAAGCCCUGAAAUUGGCAAGAUAGAUGUCAGUGUUAGCGUUUUACAAUACUAGAACAUUCUGACUUUAUCUGUACAGUCACUCUUGCCUGUGAGUUAGUAUCUUUCUUUUCUUGUGGUGCUGGGAAUCAAACCCAGGUCUUAUGCAUACUAGGAAGGUGGUCUACUUGACCUAAAUUCUUAGCCCCAAAGUCUCUUUUUUCUUUUUCAAUCCUGAAGGCUAGCUUUAUCUUGGCUGAUUUUCCCCCUGUCAGUACUAUGUACAUCUUAAGUACUUUCUCUUUGCUUAUAAGAUUUCUGAGAAGUUUGCCAUCAGAUAAACAGAGACUCUUUAUGCUUGUUUCUUUUCUCUUGCAGCUUUGAGAAUCUUUAUAUUUUAUACCUUUGAGAGCUUAAUUAUGACAAUGGGGCAAAAGACUGAAUUAAAACCUUCCAGUUUUGUACUAUGUCAUAAAAUGUGUUUAAUGUAGGCAUAGAACACUACAUGCAAAGAAUGUAUGUAAAUCUACAUAUGGUGAUGGAAUGUAUAGUCAAAAAGUUUGGAGACCAUUAACCCUAAAAGUCUGUGUCUUGAAAAAACUUUAACCUGGGUGUGGUGACAUAUGCCUAUAAUUCCAGUUCUUCAGAGAUGGAGGCAGAAAGAUCAGGAGUUCAAGGCCAGCCUCAGCUAUGUCAUGAGUUUGAGCACAGCAUGAGCCCAAGAGACUCUGCCUAAAACAAACAAACAAAACAUGGCCGAACUUACAUACUUUUAAGUAGAGCUCUUUUCUAGGCUUAUGACCAUUCACUGGGGCAAUUUUCUGAUUCCCAUUCUACAAAGAGUUUGCUUCAAAACAAGAGUUUUCUGAGAGACAAUAGGAUGGGGCCCCAAGAGACGAGAUCUUACUGCAGAAAUCUGCCUUAAGAAAUGUAACUGAUGGAGAACUUGUGACUCCACAGAGCUCCCUGGAAUCAGGCCAUCACAGGUGAUCAGCAUCUUUUCAGAUCUAACCCAAGCUAAACUACACUCGAGAAACACCAAAUACAAAGGUGCAGAGAUGUUAGCCAGAUGGAGAAAUGUCCACAAAUGCUUAAUGUGACCUCAUUAACCAGGCUUGUUACAGUGUCCAGGCUGGGUGUGAACAGUGAUACUCCAGUGACCUUCCUGCUUCAUCCUCCCAGGUAGCAAGAACUCCGUAUAGAUGUGCAUCAUCAUACCUGGCUUAGCAAAUGUUUAAGGACUCACCUGCACUUGCCUCUUGUGUACUGGAAUUAAAAGUGACCUCCACCCUGACCAGCAUUAACUACUUUGACCACUCAGUACCUUCCUCUUAAACUUAAAGGGAACUACUUAUUCUACUGGCAUAUUCACUCGAUACGUGUUUCCAGAUGACUCCAUACUCACUUUAAGAAAAUGCAGACUCCAGCACCACAAUGAAGCGCAUGAAAAACGCACGCUCCAACCUCUUCCCCAUUCACUAUUUCUUGGCAACAGAUGUUCUGAGAACACAGGAUGGCCCCACAGAAAAGACAGAGGACAGGAUGCUUUCGCUCAUCAUCUGCAGACCGUGGACACCUCAACAGGGGAAGACACAUUCAGUGUGUUGGAAAACAAGAAGCACAUCAUGUAUCUAUUUAGUAAUAAAGCCUGUUCCAUCACUCACCCUACUCAGCAGAGAAAUACAGGAAUUUGUAUUGCUCUUCCAAAACACAUGUGCAGAAGGAGAAACUGGGCAAGGAGUAGAAUGAGUUACAGAUAACCACGACAUCAAGUAGCCUAUGGCAGUGCAACAAGGAAACAUGAAUUUAAGUAAGGAAACCAUGAAAUUAUAAGCUUGGUGACUCCAAAGUCAUUCUACUGAACACUCACCAGAACAUGGAAGAGAUCCACGGACAGAAGGCCUGGUGUAUUUUCUGAUUGCAGGUUAGGAAGAAUAACUAAAACAAAAUUAAUAUAAUUCAGUCAGCAGUGUGGGAACUGCAGGGACGCACGCCGGACUGUGAGUUUCUUGUAGCCCCUGUCAGCAGAUGAGGGAGGAGGGGAUGCCUGGUAAGAAGCCCAGUGCCAAUAUAUGGAACGCCUGAAAAAGGGAGAAGAAGGGUCUUUGAAGUGCAUCUUCUUUCCCAGAAGAAAGAAAACGAUAACCCAAAAGCCAGAGAAUUCACAAAGCAGGGUGGGGUAGAGACAUGCCUGAUACAGAUGUGGCCCAGGAUAAGGAGGCCAACCUGGCGAGGAAGCUGGGGAACAUCCAGAGGGAAAGAUAUGAUGGACAGGUGUAGACAGGUUCCACAAAGAACUCAAACACUGCAGGUGAGCAGGUGAGCUUACCUUAGACUCCAUGUCCACUGCCCGCUCAAAGAUGGUCCUGAGGAUGUACAUCAUAACAUCACAGCUGAGCAGGUUGACUACUUUGCUGAAAGCAGGGCAGAACUCCGGAGGAGGUGGCGGCGGCAAUGCUGUUGGGGAAACAGAAUAGAUGGGGAGAAGAGACAAGCAGGACUGAAAACAUCAAUGUCAAGGGAAAUACAAACU